UACAGAGGUCCCAAGCGUUGUUCGGAUUCACUGGGCGUAAAGGGUGCGUAGGCGGUCGGGUAAGUCUGGCGUGAAAUCUCCAAGCCUAACUUGGAAACUGCGUUGGAUACUAUCCGGCUUGAGAGUUGGAGGGGGGACUGGAAUUCUUGGUGUAGCAGUGAAAUGCGUAGAUAUCAAGAGGAACACCAGUGGCGAAGGCGAGUCCCUGGACAACUUCUGACGCUGAGGCACGAAAGCUAGGGGAGCAAACAGG
rnacentral:rRNA from 1 species